rnacentral:rRNA from 1 species
UAUUAUUUUAAGUGUUAAUUUGUUUUACCUGGGUAGUAAUAGUUAUGAUCUUUAAACCCAAAGAAUUUGGCGGUAUUUCAUUCCAUUCAGAGGAACCUAUCUCGUAAUUGAUAGUACACGAUUAACUUUACUUAAUUUAUUUGUUUGUAUAUCUCCGUUAUCAGAAAAUCUUCUUGGGGUUUUAAUUUUCUUGUUUUUUUAUUAAAUUUUAUUUCAGGUCAAGGUGCAGCUUAUAAUUAAGAGUUUGAUGGGUUACAAUAAUUUUUUAUUAUUAUGGAUUUAAUUUUGUAAUAUGUUAAUGAAGGUGGAUUUGAUAGUAAUUUAAAUUAUUUAAUUUAAUUGAUAUUGGCUCUGAAGUGUGUACA